GCCGGGAUGGCGAAACUGGCAGACGCAGCGGACUUAAAAUCCGCAGGUCUUAACCGACCGUGGGGGUUCAAGUCCCCCUCCCGGCA
rnacentral:tRNA from 1 species